UUCCGCCUCCCGUGAAAAAAACAAAAAACUCAAAAAUUUCACCUCCCUCCCACUCUCGUCAGAAAAAAAGCCCAAACCCUCCUUUCCCUAAACAUCUCCUCUCUCUUUAUCUCCCCAACCCUCUCUCACGAAUACUCCCCUCUCACGAACCCUCUCUCAUGAAUACUUCCCUCUCACAAACCCCUCUUCUCUCCCUAACCAUCCCCUCUCUCUCAAUCUGAAGAAGACUCCCCUCUCUCACGCCAUAAUCCACAUCCCUGCUGCUCGAUCGUGUCUCAUUUUGUUCCUUUUUAGAAUCCUCAGAUGAUGCCUCUCAAGUAAACGAUGAUGAAAAUGCACUUAUGGGUUUCUUUGAUGACUCCAAAGAGUAUGUGUAAAAUUGCAGAGGAAUCCAUUCAUUGAUCUGCCGAGAACAUAGCACUAGCCAUUGGUGCACUGUGUAUGGUUGUGAAAUGUGAGUUGCUGGUUGUCCCUGCCAGCGAAUUAACAUCUAAGUAAUGUCCAACCUGGCUCUCUAGUUCCCAAUCAAGUAAAUUUAGAACCACCUACCUCUCUAAUUCCUACUUAGAGUGAAAGAAAAACAUUGCUACGU